UACGAAGGGGGCUAGCGUUGUUCGGAUUUACUGGGCGUAAAGCGCACGUAGGCGGAUUGUUAAGUCGGGGGUGAAAUCCUGGAGCUCAACUUCAGAAUUGCCUUCGAUACUGGCUUUCUAGAGGCUGGAAGAGGUUAGUGGAAUUCCCAGUGUAGAGGUGAAAUUCGUAGAUAUCAGGAAGAACACCCGUGGCUAAGGCGGCUCUCUAGUACGGUACUGACGCUGAGACGCGAAAGCCAGGGGAGCAAACGGG
rnacentral:rRNA from 1 species